UAUUAUUAAGAAAAAUUAUAUUGUUAGUAUAUAAAUUGUAUGAAAACAAAAAAUUAUGGCGGUAUUUUAAGCUUUUCAGAGGAAUUUGCUCUUUAAUGGAUAAAACACCUAAAUCUUACUAAAUUUAGUUAAGCAGUUUGUAUACCACUAUUUAAGUAAUAAUUUGCUAUUAUUACUAAAAUUUAUAUUAAUUAAAAAAAGUUAAGUCAAGGUGCAGCAUAAAUUUUAGUAUGAAGUGAAUUACAUUUCUUUUAAGAAAAAUUUGUUGAAAAUAAAAUUUAGGAUUUGAAAGUAAAAUUUUAAUAGAAGGAAAAUUUGAAUUAAGCUCUAAAAUAUGUACACAUCGC
rnacentral:rRNA from 1 species